AUGCUCAUUGAUGUCCUUCAUCCCGGGAAGGCAACAGUGCCUAAGACAGAAAUUCAGAAAAAACUAGCCAAAAUGUAUAAGACCACACUGGAUGUCAUCUUUGUAUUUGCAUUCAGAACUCAUGCUGGUGGUGGCUUUGGCAUGAUUUAUGAUUCCUUGGAUUAUGUAAAGUAAAAUGAACCCAAACAUACCAAACAUAGACUUGCAAGACAUGGCCUGUAUGAGAAGAAAAAGACCUCAAGAAAG
rnacentral:lncRNA from 1 species